AUUGAACGCUGGCGGAAUGCUUUACACAUGCAAGUCGGGCGGCAGCACGGGGGCAACCCUGGUGGCGAGCGGCGAACGGGUGAGUAAUACAUCGGAACGUACCCUGUCGUGGGGGAUAACGAAUCGAAAGAUUCGCUAAUACCGCAUACGACCUGAGGGUGAAAGCAGGGGAUCGCAAGACCUUGCGCUGAUUGAGCGGCCGAUGUCAGAUUAGCUAGUUGGUGAGGUAAAGGCUCACCAAGGCGACGAUGGGUAGCUGGUCUGAGAGGAUGGUCAGCCACACUGGGACUGAGAUACGGCCCAGACUCCUACGGGAGGCAGCAGUCGAGAGGCUUCGGCAAUGGGGGAAACCCUGACCGAGCGACGCCGCGUGAGGGAUGAAGGCCCUUGGGUUGUAAACCUCUUUUGUUCGGGAAGAAGUGCGAUCAGGUGAAUAAUCUGGUCGUUUGACGGUACCGGACGAAUAAGCUCCGGCUAACUCCGUGCCAGCAGCCG
rnacentral:rRNA from 1 species